AACGUAGGGGGCGAGCGUUGCCCGGAUUCACUGGGCGUAAAGCGGGUGUAGGCGGUUCUUUAAGUCGGAUGUGAAAUCCUGCGGCUCAACCGCGGAACUGCAUCCGAUACUGGGGAACUUGAGGACGGUAGAGGUCGGUGGAAUUCCAGGUGUACCGGUGAAAUGGGCAGAUAUCUGGAGGAACACCAGUGGCGAAGGCGGCCGACUGGGCCGAUCCUGACGCUGAGACCCGAAAGCCAGGGUAGCGAACCGG
rnacentral:rRNA from 1 species